rnacentral:rRNA from 1 species
UACGUAGGCAGCGAGCGUUGUUCGGAGUUACUGGGCGUAAAGGGUGUGUAGGCGGUUGUUUAAGUUUGGUGUGAAAUCUCCCGGCUCAACUGGGAGGUGCGCCGAAUACUGAAUGACUAGAGUGCGGGAGAGGAAAGUGGAAUUCCUGGUGUAGCGGUGAAAUGACGUAGAUAUCAGGAGGAACACCGGUGGUGUAGACGGCUUUCUGGACCGUAACUGACGCUGAGACACGAAAGCGUGGGUAGCAAACAGG